UGGGGAAUUUUGGACAAUGGGGGAAACCCUGAUCCAGCCAUCCCGCGUGUGCGAUGAAGGCCUUCGGGUUGUAAAGCACUUUUGGCAGGAAAGAAACGUCGCGGGUUAAUACCCCGCGAAACUGACGGUACCUGCAGAAUAAGCACCGGCUAACUACGUGCCAGCAGCCGCGGUAAUACGUAGGGUGCAAGCGUUAAUCGGAAUUACUGGGCGUAAAGCGUGCGCAGGCGGUUCGGAAAGAAAGAUGUGAAAUCCCAGAGCUUAACUUUGGAACUGCAUUUUUAACUACCGGGCUAGAGUGUGUCAGAGGGAGGUGGAAUUCCGCGUGUAGCAGUGAAAUGCGUAGAUAUGCGGAGGAACACCGAUGGCGAAGGCAGCCUCCUGGGAUAACACUGACGCUCAUGCACGAAAGCGUGGGGAGCAAACAGGAUUAGAUACCCUGGUAGUCCACGCCCUAAACGAUGUCAACUAGCUGUUGGGGGCCUUCGGGCCUUGGUAGCGCAGCUAACGCGUGAAGUUGACCGCCUGGGGAGUACGGUCGCAAGAUUAAAACUCAAAUGAAUUGACGGGGUCG
rnacentral:rRNA from 1 species